rnacentral:rRNA from 1 species
UCCUGGCUCAGAUUGAACGCUGGCGGCAUGCUUUACACAUGCAAGUCGAACGGCAGCACGGGCUUCGGCCUGGUGGCGAGUGGCGAACGGGUGAGUAAUGCAUCGGAACGUGCCCAUUUGUGGGGGAUAACUACGCGAAAGCGUGGCUAAUACCGCAUACGCCCUGAGGGGGAAAGCGGGGGAUUCUUCGGAACCUCGCGCAAUUGGAGCGGCCGAUGUCAGAUUAGCUUGUUGGUGAGGUAAAGGCUCACCAAGGCGACGAUCUGUAGCGGGUCUGAGAGGAUGAUCCGCCACACUGGGACUGAGACACGGCCCAGACUCCUACGGGAGGCAGCAGUGGGGAAUUUUGGACAAUGGGGGCAACCCUGAUCCAGCCAUGCCGCGUGAGUGAAGAAGGCCUCGG